rnacentral:rRNA from 1 species
GGUUGACCUCGGAUCAGGUAGGGAUACCCGCUGAACUUAAGCAUAUCAAUAAGCGGAGGAAAAGAAACCAACCGGGAUUGCCUCAGUAACGGCGAGUGAAGCGGCAAGAGCUCAAAUUUGAAAGCUGGCUCCUUCGGGGUCCGCAUUGUAAUUUGCAGAGGAUGCUUCGGGUGCGGCCCCUGUCUAAGUACCCUGGAACGGGUCGUCAGAGAGGGUGAGAAUCCCGUCUGGGAUAGGGUGUCCGCGCCCGUGUGAAGCUCCUUCGACGAGUCGAGUUGUUUGGGAAUGCAGCUCUAAAUGGGUGGUAAAUUUCAUCUAAAGCUAAAUACUGGCCGGAGACCGAUAGCGCACAAGUAGAGUGAUCGAAAGAUGAAAAGCACUUUGAAAAGAGAGUUAAAAAGCACGUGAAAUUGUUGAAAGGGAAGCGCUUGCGACCAGACUCGCCCCCGGGGUUCAGCCGGCAUUCGUGCCGGUGUACUUCCCCGAGGGCGGGCCAGCGUCGGUUUGGGCGGCCGGUCAAAGGCCCCUGGAAUGUAGUACCCUCCGGGGUACCUUAUAGCCAGGGGUGCAAUGCGGCCAGCCUGGACCGAGGAACGCGCUUCGGCACGGACGCUGGCAUAAUGGUCGUAAACGACC